GUCUGUGAAAGAACAGCUGGAUCUUGUGAAGUGCUGGAAAUUUUCUCUUUAGUGUAAGUGGUCCACGGCUGAAGCAGUCGGACCACCUUUGAAAAUAACGUGUAAUUGUUAUUUCUCAUUUUGCCACAUCCUGUGGAGACAAAAGAUUAGUGUUGUGUCUUUUCAUUUUUUAUUUUUCUUCUUGGGGAAAAUAAUAUUGACAAUGGAGUUGAGUAUAAGCCUGCUCUUGAGGUUCACAGAUGAUACCUUUGAUCCAGAACUUGCAGCAACAAUAGUAAAAGAAAGUCUAUAAUAUAUCAACUGUGCCAAGGGAAGACAACAGUAAACUUACAAGUCUCUUUCCAGCAAUCUAAAUUAGUAAUUC
rnacentral:lncRNA from 1 species